AAUGAACGCUGGCGGCAUGCCUAACACAUGCAAGUCGAACGAGAUCUUCGGAUCUAGUGGCGCACGGGUGCGUAACGCGUGGGAAUCUACCCUUGGGUUCGGAAUAACAGCGAGAAAUUGCUGCUAAUACCGGAUGAUGACGUAAGUCCAAAGAUUUAUCGCCCAGGGAUGAGCCCGCGUAGGAUUAGGUAGUUGGUGUGGUAAAGGCGCACCAAGCCUACGAUCCUUAGCUGGUCUGGGAGGAUGAUCAGCCACACUGGGACUGAGACACGGCCCAGACUCCUACGGGAGGCAGCAGUGGGGAAUAUUGGACAAUGGGCGAAAGCCUGAUCCAGCAAUGCCGCGUGAGUGAUGAAGCCUUAGGGUUGUAAAGCUCUUUUACCCGGGAUGAUAAUGACAGUACCGGGAGAAUAAGCUCCGGCUAACUUCGUGCCA
rnacentral:rRNA from 1 species